rnacentral:tRNA from 1 species
GGAGAGGUGGCCGAGUGGUUUAAGGCAGCAGUUUACUAAACUGCCGGGUUCGCAAGAGCCUCUAGAGUUCGAAUCUCUAUCUCUCCGCCA